GCAAGUCGAGCGCAGUCCUUCGGGACCGAGCGGCGGACGGGUUAGUAACGCGUGGGAACGUACCCUUUUCUACGGAAUAGCCUCGGGAAACUGAGAGUAAUACCGUAUACGCCCUUCGGGGGAAAGAUUUAUCGGAUUUGGAUCGGCCCGCGUUAGAUUAGAUAGUUGGUGGGGUAAUGGCCUACCAAGUCUACGAUCUAUAGCUGGUUUGAGAGGAUGAUC
rnacentral:rRNA from 1 species